GACGAACGCUGGCGGCGUGCCUAAUACAUGCAAGUAGAACGCACAGUUUAUACCGUAGCUUGCUACACCAUAGACUGUGAGUUACGAACGGGUGAGUAACGCGUAGGUAACCUGCCUGGUAGCGGGGGAUAACUAUUGGAAACGAUAGCUAAUACCGCAUAAUAUUAAUUAUUGCAUGAUAAUUAAUUGAAAGGUGCAAUUGCACCACUACCAGAUGGACCUGCGUUGUAUUAGCUAGUAGGUGAGGUAACGGCUCACCUAGGCGACGAUACAUAGCCGACCUGAGAGGGUGAUCGGCCACACUGGGACUGAGACACGGCCCAGACUCCUACGGGAGGCAGCAGUAGGGAAUCUUCGGCAAUGGACGAAAGUCUGACCGAGCAACGCCGCGUGAGUGAAGAAGGUUUUCGGAUCGUAAAGCUCUGUUGUAAGAGAAGAACGGGUGUGAGAGUGGAAAGUUCACACUGUGACGGUAUCUGACCAGAAAGGGACGGCUAACUACGUG
rnacentral:rRNA from 1 species